UGGUGGAGUGAUUUGUCUGGUUAAUUCCGUUAACGAACGAGACCUCGACCUGCUAAAUAGUCAGGCGUACCCACCUGGGUACGUGCUGUGACUUCUUAGAGGGACUGUCGGUUUGUAGCCGAAGGAAGAUCGAGGCAAUAACA
rnacentral:rRNA from 1 species